rnacentral:siRNA from 1 species
AGCAUGAACGUUAAUGGACAUGGA